rnacentral:lncRNA from 1 species
CGAGAUUGCGCCACUGUACUCCAUCCUGGGCCACAGAGUGAGAAACCGUCUCAAAAAAAAAAAAAAAAAAAAAUAGGCCAUAGCCUGAGCUUAGCCUGCUGGCCAUAGUCUACAGACCCAUGCUAUAAUACACGAGUAACUGGUGUGAGUAACUACACACAGACAGAAAAGCACCCAGUGAACAGUGCCUUCAUUUCUCGAAUUUCCUGCUUUCUGUCAACAUGCAUCACACAGUUACAUGCUCUUCCUGUGGUUGCAAUCAGUUUAUCUUUGCAUUCUGCUGUUUUAAAAUUUAACGCCCAUUUCUGUGGAUUGGCAUAGCCCACAUUCUUGUGAAUCACCCACAGUGAUUCCUGCAGUGUUGUCCCCAGCCUCAAGCCUCUCUGCACCGUAAUUGUGCUUCUUUUCCUCAGAUACCUGCCUUGCAUUGGCCCUGGGUAAAUGUUUCCCUUGGCUGUGAAUAGGCAAUUAAAAUUCUGAACCUUUUAUGGCUCUGGAAGCUUAUCCGAUGAAACAAUACUCAUCCAGGCGGAUGGCCCACCAGCGCAAAGGGCUGAGGCCGCUGUAAGCCAAGGUACGCAACGCUUGCUAAACAGGAAUCCCUGGAAUGAAUCCAUGCAUGAGGCCUUUGUGCCAUGUGACAGUUGAAGGCUGUGGUGACCCCGGAACCGUCCCACUCCGAGACGCCUUAACACCGUUUUUCUGCUGUUACAAACCACAGAGCAACGCGUGUGCCUCCUCCCGCCCUGGGGACUCUUUCUGUGGGAGAGGUGCCUGGAUUUAGAGGAGCGACCACUCUUCAUUUGUAGGAUCUUGGUCACUUUCCCAGUUGUCACUCGGCCCACAAACUAGGAUGUGAGCAGCAUAUUAAGAAUCUGCAGAGAUGUUCCCGUCUGCCCGGCAUAUGGAUGUCCUUCUGGGCUGCAAAGUGGCAUCCUGUGGGCAACUCCCCCCACAACAACCAGCUGUGAGCUGUGCCCAGGCACAGAGGGACCUGGCUUUCCCUGUUUCUGCAGAUGGAGCCCAGGGUUUCAGGGAGGGAGGGGGCAGGCUGGGACCUGUUGGGGAUCUGGGCACUUUCUCAUGCUCCUUGAGCUGCAAGUCAUAGAAGGAGUGGGGUGGGAGCUGGGAAUGUACCUUCCCAAGGCCACUGGCAGAACCAGCAGGCCCUUUGCUCUGGGAUGAGCUCCCUCUGAGGGGUGGGGACAGUAAAGCGGACCGAAGUCCCUGUUCUGCGGGAUGGAAACUGGCUCCCCUCCAUUGUACAGGCCAGCUCUGGGGAUUUGGGCAGCAGAUUUGGGGUUGACAGCAGAAUGACAUGAUCACCAGUUGACCUUGGCCAGGAUGCCAGCUUACUUUCUCGCUUACUUCUGCAGGUUCUUUGUUCUGCGGGUGAGUCACCCAGGUCCUGCCCUCCGUGCCUGUCUGCCCUCUCCCACUUUCCCUGCCCUGAGCUUGUUCCCACUUGUAGAUUUGGCAGGUCACUGCCAAGGCCCCUAUUCCCCCAACAUGGCCAGUGCCCUAAGGGUGGGUUGUACAGGGAGGAGCUGGCGUGGUCAGUAGACUUGAAUCAGGGACAACUCGGCUGCUGAAGGCUGAGGGGGCCUUGCAGGGCUGCAGGUGCCUUGUGCACACAGGGAGUGGGUAGAGAAGGCAACCAGGGGCUCCUUCAGGCCUUAAUGCUCUGCAGCCCAGUGAGGCUGUGCCCAGAGAGUCUGGCGAGGCCCUGGUCUGCUCCCCCAGCCAAUGGCCUGAUGCUGUUCCAUCUGGGCACCCUGUCACUUUUCGUUCAUCAGGGAGUACAGGGUGAUUCAGGGUCUCAAAUGCAGGUGUUCACAAAAUGAAAUAGAACUUCCCUCUAUCCCCGUGCUUCUUUUUAUUUUUAUAACAAAUAUACAUCGUUAUAUUUUAUUUUUAUAUUUAUGUAUUUUAUAUAUAUGUGACAUCUACUACAUGACAGAAAAUAUUUAUGGCCAGGCAAGGUGGCUUACACCUGUAAUGCCAGCACUUUGGGAGGCUGAGGCAGGCGGAUCACCUGAGGUCGAGAGUUGGAGACCAGUGUGACCAACAUGGAGAAACCCCAUCUCUACUAAAAAUACAAAAUCAGCUGGGGGUGGUGGCGCAUGCCUGUAAUCCCAGCUACUCGGGAAGCUGAGGCAGGAGAAUCGCUUGAACCGGGGAGGCGGAGGUUGUGGUGAGCCGAGAUUGCACCAUUGCACUCCAGCCUGGCAACAAGGGAUAAACCCCGUCUCAAAAAAAAAAAAAGAAAAAAAAAAAGAAAAAAAUAUUUAUAAUGUAACUAAUAUAGCUAAAAUAAAAUGUAAUUUCAGUCUCAAGCCUUCAUUCUGUUAAGGGGACAGAAACUUAAUCUUGGUCAUCUUGGGGUCUCCCUCCCUGGGGCUGUGCCUGACUUCCAGGGGGCUCGGCGUUGGCAGGAUUUCUGGUGCUUGAGGUCACCUGUCAGCCUGUCUCUUGUCAUUGGCUAUCCGCCGUGCCAUCUGCUCCUGUGUGUCCUUGGCACUGUUCGCAUGUCUCCAGCUCGCUGGCUUUCUCUGCCACCUUGGAGCCACUCCUGGGUGCACAGGAGUCUUACUGCUCCCACGCUGUGCUGGGGCCUGGGAAGACUGCUGUGGCCUACCUGCCUCCGUGUAGCACACACACCCAUUUCUUCUUCUUCUUCUCCUUCUCCUUCUUCAGACAGAGACUCACUCUGUCACCUAGGCUGGACUGCAGUGGUGCCAAAUUGGCUCACUGCAACCUCCGCCUCCCGGGUU